CAUCCUAUAUUUUUCUAUACAAUGUUCUUAUAUCCAAAGAUUUUGUUGGCUUAGCAUAGGAACAGCCACAAAUAGUCAUUAAGAGUAAUCCAAAAUAGCGUCCCUUAUUGACCAACAUUUUUGCGUCCCGAAUUACUACUCAAGCGCUACUAUGUCAUCUUGUAUUUAGUGGCUUUAGAACAUGGCCAAUAUAUAAAUAAAUAUAAACUGUAUAGAACAUCAAGAUUGUACUAGUAGCCUUCAUAGAACCUGAUGAUUUUUUUGGAUAAAUAUGAUUUGUUUCCAGUAAGAUGCAGUAAAGCAUACUCAAUAAACGAAAAGUGCAAAAUAAUAUAGAAGUGAACAAUUAUGUAAAGAAAUGGCUUUAAAUCUACUUACAUAAUUGCAAUCUAAAAAAGUCAGGUGAGCUACAGGGACACAAGCGUUGCAGUGUGGACAAUUCAACAAGCAAAUUUUUGAAGAUUGUUUCAUGUCAUUCAGAACAUUGUGACAAAGAUGACAAUGAUGCAAAUGAUAGAUAAUACACAAACAAAAUUUAUGUUAUAUAAUAUACAUUUCAUUUUAUGAACUCCAAAA